rnacentral:rRNA from 1 species
CAGUAGCCGCGGUAAUACCGAGGGUGCGAGCGUUAAUCGGAUUUACUGGGCGUAAAGCGUGCGUAGGCGGCUUUUUAAGUCGGAUGUGAAAUCCCUGAGCUUAACUUAGGAAUUGCAUUCGAUACUGGGAAGCUAGAGUAUGGGAGAGGAUGGUAGAAUUCCAGGUGUAGCGGUGAAAUGCGUAGAGAUCUGGAGGAAUACCGAUGGCGAAGGCAGCCAUCUGGCCUAAUACUGACGCUGAGGUACGAAAGCAUGGGGAGCAAACAGGAUUAGAUACCCCCGUAGUCCCUGUCUCUUAUAA